UACGAAGGGUGCUAGCGUUGUUCGGAAUCACUGGGCGUAAAGCGCGCGUAGGCGGCUUUGCAAGUCAGAGGUGAAAGCCUGGAGCUCAACUCCAGAAUUGCCUUUGAAACUGCAUGGCUUGAGUGUCGGAGGGGAUAGGGGAAUUUCUAAUGUAGCGGUGAAAUGCGUAGAUAUUAGAAGGAACACCGGUGGCGAAGGCGCCUAUCUGGACGACAACUGACGCUGAGGCACGAAAGCGUGGGGAUCAAACAGG
rnacentral:rRNA from 1 species